GGUUCUAGAAGGGGAUGUGUAAAAUCUUAAGGCUCUAGGGACGCACAGGCUGCUUGAGAUUUGCAGAAGAGGUACUGAUUCCAUCGUAGCCCACCUCUUCACCCCACCCCCACCUCCACCCCACCCCGCAGCAUCCCUUCUACAUCCUGGAAGAUGGGGAAACUUCCUGGAGGGUACCCAGCUGAUUGCUUCUCCAAGCUUCAGGGAUGGUGAGCUAAUGGGAUGAUGUGCCCUACAGCCCUGGAGUAGAACAGUCCUCCAGUACAGAGGCAGAAGUCCCAGGCUGAGGCAUGGCACACCACCUCCCGCCCAUCACUUGGCUUCUCCAGCAUCGACUCUGCCCAGAACUCAGGAGGCAUUGGUGAGAGCCCCAGCGAGGUGAAGAAUUCCUCUGCUACCCGGAACAUGUGUGUAGCAUUCCAGCCCUGGGCAGGAGGCUUCGUUGCUGAGGAUGGUGAAGUCUUCAUAGAGGGGUUUCAGUGGGAUGCCCACAACAUCAUGCCAGCUCUCCCAGGCGAACAGCAGCUUGGCAUAACUUCGUGAGGAAGCCAUAAUGGUGUUGAGCUCUGAGACAGGAGACGGUGUGACCUGGAGACUCGGUGAGAUUGUGCCAGCCUGCCAGGUGACGUGCUAGAGGAGAGACCCCAGAGGACUGACAGAGACGGAGAGAGAAGGUGGCGGGCAAGGGGCCACCUGGUGAGAACUGGGCUUGUGGGAAGAUGGAUGCAGGUCCUUCAUCAGUUGUACAGCACCUCACAGAACCAUCAUGUUUGAAAGGGUGGUCUGGCAUGUGCCAGCAAUCCCAGCACUCAGGAGGCAGACGCAGGAUUGAAAAACAACACCAAAAUAUUAUUAAUAUUGUCAAAAGUAUCCAUGGAUGACCCUCCCCUGCAUGAUGGUGAAAGCAGUGUUGGGGAGCGACCCUAGGACCUCGUGCCCAGUAGGCAAGCACUCUAGCGUUGAGCCCUACUCACUAUUCUCACUACCUCAAAACCAUCUACAGUUACUGGGGUCACAAGCGUCCGAUUGUGCUCUUCUAGCCUAAAGACAGAGCAGCUUGUCCUGACAGCGCCAGCGGGCCAUCGGAUCCCGCGUCCGGGUGCCCGGAGGAUUCCUCCCGCAUUUCUGAACAUGGUCUGGCAGUGCCGAGCCGGCAGCAGCGUGGGGAUGAGGAUGCUGCGCCAAAAGUAGCCAAGGCAGACACUGACAGGUGGUCACGCGCCUGUGCCCGCCUGGAGUAGGGGGUGGGGCAAGUGCGGCUGCGCAGAAGAGCCUCCUUUUGGGACGUCAGGUUGAAACCUCUAUAGCAUGCGUCAGGAAUGGGAGACAGGCUUUCACUCUUCAGAUGCCUAAUUAAUGGGGUGUGUGUACAUGACAUGUAAUGCAUGUGAAAGCUAAGAAACGUGAUAGAAAUGUAACACACACCACACUACCAUACAUCCGUCCAUCUUUCCCAUCCUUCAUUUCGAGCGCCCCCCCACUACCGUGCCAUGUGUGCGCACAUGCGUGAGCGCGCAUGCGUGUGCGCAUGUGUGUGUCGUGGAGUCGGUUCUUUCCUGCCGUCUUUAUGUAGGGUCCCGGGAUGAAACUCCGGUCCUUGCGUUUGUAUGGGAAGCUUUUUUUUUCCAAGCCGAACUAUUUCACCUGCCGCUGAACGCUUCUAUUCCCGGUGCCAGAGUAGCGCUGAGUGGAAACAGCCCAAAGUGCUGGGCAUGGACCCCAGGGCCUUGUAUAUGCUAAGCAGGUGAACAGGGACAGGAUGGCAGCUCCCUAUUGGUCCUGUGGGGCCCUCCCCACUGCCCACCCUCACCCCAGCACCCGGCAUAACAAACUGGCAGGAAUGAAGGUUUACUAAGAAGACACCCCUGUGCCCUUCCCUUGGUGGCCAGAUACUGAACUAGAUCCCGGGGAACUGGAGUCCUCCUGGGAGCCCCAUAUCGGCCGAAGCCUGGUGCCAGCCGGAGGGCAGAGCUCACCUCUUCACAAGAUUCCACACGGCACGGUUCUGUCCGAAGACCUUGCAGGAGAGGCUGGAGGGGUCACACUGAAUAAAUCUUUUUUCUGUUCUUCAUCGUUCACCACCCUCCCGCUGUGUGUGGGGGGGGAUGGUGGUGGUGGUGUGGCGUGGUGUGGAGUGGUGUGGCGUGGUGUGGUGUGGUGUGGCGUGGUGUGGCGUGGCGUGGCGUGGUGUGUGCAUGUGGAAGCCAGAGGUCAACACCAGGUGUCUUUUCUCAAUGGUGUUUAACUGGAAGCUGAGCCUCCUGUUUUGCCUCUGGUGAUGGAAUUCCAAGUGAGCCACAGCUGUGCCUGGCUUGCUUUCAUUUGCCUGCCUGCUUCCCUCCUUCCCUUCCCUUUCCUUCUUUCC